GAUGAAGAACGUAGCGAAAUGCGAUAAGUAGUGUGAAUUGCAGAAUUCAGUGAAUCAUCGAAUCUUUGAACGCACAUUGCGCCCCUUGGUAUCCCGAGGGGCAUGCCUGUUCGAGCGUCAUUUCACCACUCAAGCCUGGCUUGGUGUUGGGCGACGUCCCCUUUGGGGACGCGCCUCGAAACGCUCGGCGGCAUGGCACCGGCUUUAAGCGUAGCAGAAUCUUUCGCUUUGGAAGUCGGGGCCCCGUCUGCCGGAAGACCUACUCGCAAGGUUGACCUCGGAUCAGGCAGGGAUACCCGCUGAACUUAAGCAUAUCAAUAAGCGGAGGA
rnacentral:misc_RNA from 1 species